CGCAGUCAUUGGGUCGUUCUCGCUGUAUGCACGUCUUGUAAGAGAAAGAGAGUCGGAAGUGUUCCGUACGAUACGAAACAGCCUAACAUCAUCCGCAUAAAGCAGACAAUCUGCUUCCGUAAUGGCCAGUGUGACGUCGUUAAUAAAAAGCGAGAACAGCAGUGGUCCCAAGUUGCUGCCCUGAGGGACGCCAGAUGAACUCUCGAAAACGUUAGAGGAGACACCAUCGAUUUGUACGUAGUAGCUACGUUCAGAGAUAUAGGACCUGAACCAAUUCACCAGCGGAGUAGAGAGACCGAUCCGGGCGAGCUUAGCCAACAGCAAGCGAUGGUUCACACGAUCAAACGCAGCCUUAAGAUCAGUGUAUACUGCAUCCAUCUGAGCUCCGGAAGUAAAGGCUGCAUGGCAGUUGGAGACGAAUUCCACCAAGUUUGUGGUAGCACUGCGUCGAGGAAAGAAACCAUGCUGGCGUGUAGAAAUAUAAGAACGACAGUGAUACAUUAGCGAGUUUUGUAUGACGAUCUCAAACACCUUGGCACAAGAAGGCAAGGUGGUUAUACCGCGGUAGUUCUCAGCAGAGUUUUUAUCCCCUUUUUUGUACACCGGAAACAUCACAGAGGAUUUCCAGGCUGUGGGUACAGUACUUUGUGCAAAAGAGAGUUGGUAGAUUUGAGACAGAGGCUCUGCUAAAAAUUCGCGGCAUUUGGCAAGGAUUGCCGUAGGAAUACCAUCGGGUUCAUGGUUGUAUGAGGUUUUGACUUGCUGCAGAGCACGUAGUACAGUAUCUACCGAGAUAAUAAUAUCGCGUACGUCAAUGUCAACAACAUCACGGGGCACAUUAUUUAAAGCUGCUUCUAAUGAUAAGCUUGCAUCAUCCGUAGUAAAGCAGUCCUUGAAACGAUCAGCAAAUAAGUUGCACAUGCCUUCCUUACUGCUUGUGGAGACGUUGUUAUAUGUGAGAACAUCGGGGAGCGAGCUGUUACCGCGUUUUGAUUCAACAUACCUCCAGAAUCGUGUUGGGUGUCUGAUGAGCGAGAAUUUCACUCGAAUGAGAUAACGAGUAUGAAGUUGUCUGUUAUAGCUUCUAUAUACAUUAUGGGCAGCAAUGAACCUUAAUUUGGAGUGUUGUGUACCAUUUGUACUGUAAAAGCGAAAGCAUGACGCUUUGUUUUGCUUUAGACGGCGUAAACGUGCAUCAGACCAUGGUGGACUGCGAUGCGGUGGCAUUAGAGGACAGCAAUCAGAUAUAAGCGCCAGUAGUGUUGUGUUAAAUAGUUCCAAUGCUGAGUUAACAUCCGGAUUACCUUCCAGGAAAGACCAGUCAGUAGAUUGAAGCAGUUCAGCUAGACGGAUAAAGUUAGUUCGCCUGUAGUUACGUGUGCCGGACUCACGGUUUGGUGAGGUAGAACGCCAGGAACGAGCUGUAUUGCCAGCACCAGUUAAGUGUAGUUCAACAGGAGGAUGAUGAACAUCAACGGCAACCAUAGGGAAAGGUGACACCACCGGUGGGGCACAAUAAUGUAGGAUCUCGUCAGAGACAAUUAUGAGAUCGAGAAUGUUAUUCGAUGCAUUAGGUAUAAAGUUGAUCUAAGAAAGCCCAUUACUAUAGAUGCAGUCAAGCAAAGAGCGGCAGUUGUCCGUAAUUCGUGAAUUCUCAUAAUUGAUUCGCAGUGCAGGAACGUUAGAAUCAUCGGUGUUCCAGGAAAGAUUGGAAACAUGGGUUCGGGAUUAAUGAAUCGCUUCUUAAUGCAUCACUUCGAAUUAACAACCACUUGGAAUUUGCGUUGUCUUUUAAGAAAUCCUUUACAUGCAGUUUAUUAUAUACACCAGAUAUGAUCUUGCAUAACCCUGUAACCGGGCCAAAUUAACUAGUGAAUACAAAAUUAAUAUUACUUAAAAUAUCUUUUUUCGAGCAGAAAAAUAUUUUAAAAUAUUUUUUUUUAGAUAUAUUUAAAUAGAUUUCGAGCAGAUGAUACCAAUCGCAACCCUCGCAAUGUUUGACGGGGUUCGAUUUUGGGGCUUCUGAUGGAUUCGAGAAUCGUUCGACGUAUAUGAUAGGCCUGUAAGUCUCGAAAGCUUGUGAAGGCGGGCAUGUCCACGAAUGACGUCACUCCAAAUAGGAUGACAUGUCCUUGCAGUCAAAUCAAAUGUAUAGCACAACAAAUAUGCGUCAUAUUUUUGGGUUUUAGGCCUUGUUCUGCCCGAUUGCAUAAAUCGAUAUAUUUUUACAAAACCAGAUCACAUGAAUGGCAAUAUUUAACGUAUAUAAUCACAGAAUGACAAAAAGCAGUUUGAUAUAAAGGCGUGCUCACAUUACUCGAGAGCAGGGGCGGAGCACUACGCAAACUAAGUGGCUACGUAGAGCUCCGAGGUGUCGAGAGACCAUUAGCAAUUUAAAUUGAACAUGUUUGUGUGAUAAAAAUGGAUUUCAACGGCUAGCAACUCAGAUAUUAGUUCAGGUUAUUUCGUAUCAAUUGAAUUAGGAUUUGAUAAUGAUAAAGUGAGGUUACACUUAUUUACCCGUGGGUAGAUAUAAAUUUUUUAUAGAACGAUUAUUCAAAAUAACAUGAUAAACAAGUUAAGUGAAGUAUUCAAAAUAGCAAAAUAAACACUAAACACGUGA